GACGAACGCUGGCGGCGUGCCUAACACAUGCAAGUCGAACGGGGUAAUGACUUCGGUUAUUACUUAGUGGCGAACGGGUGAGUAACGCGUGAGAAACCUGCCUUUCAGUGGGGGGACAACAGUUGGAAACGACUGCUAAUACCGCAUAAUGUAUCGAUGGGGCAUCCUGUUGAUACCAAAGCUUUAUGUGCUGAAAGAUGGUCUCGCGUCUGAUUAGCUAGUUGGCGGGGUAACGGCCCACCAAGGCGACGAUCAGUAGCCGGCCUGAGAGGGUGGACGGCCACAUUGGGACUGAGACACGGCCCAAACUCCUACGGGAGGCAGCAGUGGGGAAUAUUGCACAAUGGGGGAAACCCGUGAUGCAGCGACGCCGCGUGAGUGAUGAAGUAUUCGGUAUGUAAAGCUCUAUCAGCAGGGAAG
rnacentral:rRNA from 1 species